AAUGAACGUUGGCGGCGUGGAUUAGGCAUGCAAGUCGAGCGCGAUACCUCCUUCGGGAGGUGGAAAGCGGCGAAAGGGAGAGGAACACGUGGAUUAUCUACCCCUGGACCCAGGAUAGCUGCGGGAAACUGCAGGUAAUACUGGAUGAUGUCUCCGGACCAAAGGUGUGAUUCCGUCCAGGGAUGAGUUCGCGUCCUAUUAGCUAGUUGGCAGGGUAACGGCCUACCAAGGCGAUGAUGGGUACCGGGUGUGAGAGCAUGGCCCGGCUCACUGGGACUGAGACACUGCCCAGACACCUACGGGUGGCUGCAGUCGAGGAUCUUCGGCAGUGGGCGCAAGCCUGACCGAGCGACGCCGCGUGCGGGAUGAAGGCCUUCGGGUUGUAAACCGCUGUCAGGGGGGAUGAAAUGCAUCGGGGUUCUCCCCGGUGUUUGACAGAGCCCCAGAGGAAGCACGGGCUAAGUUCGUGCCAGCCGCCGCGGUAACAC
rnacentral:rRNA from 1 species